GAUGAAGAACGCAGCGAAAUGCGAUACGUAAUGUGAAUUGCAAAUUCAGUGAAUCAUCGAGUCUUUGAACGCACAUUGCGCCCCCUGGUAUUCCGGGGGGCAUGCCUGUCCGAGCGUCAUUGCUGCCCUCAAGCACGGCUUGUGUGUUGGGCCGCGUCCUCCGAUCCCGGGGGACGGGCCCGAAAGGCAGCGGCGGCACCGCGUCCGGUCCUCGAGCGUAUGGGGCUUUGUCACCCGCUCUGUAGGCCCGGCCGGCGCUUGCCGAUCAACCCAAAUUUUUAUCCAGGUUGACCUCGGAUCAGGUAGGGAUACCCGCUGAACUUAAGCAUAUCAAUAAGCGGAGGA
rnacentral:misc_RNA from 1 species